rnacentral:rRNA from 1 species
GGACGAACGCUGGCGGCGUGCUUACCACAUGCAAGUCGAACGGUGAAGCGAGUGCUUGCACUCGUGGAUCAGUGGCGAACGGGUGAGUAACACGUGAGUAACCUGCCCAUCACUCUGGGAUAAGCACUGGAAACGGUGUCUAAUACUGGAUACGACCAACCCUUGCAUGGGGUGUUGGUGGAAAGAUUUAUCGGUGAUGGAUGGACUCGCGGCCUAUCAGCUUGUUGGCGGGGUAAUGGCCCACCAAGGCGACGACGGGUAGCCGGCCUGAGAGGGUGACCGGCCACACUGGGACUGAGACACGGCCCAGACUCCUACGGGAGGCAGCAGUGGGGAAUAUUGCACAAUGGGCGAAAGCCUGAUGCAGCGACGCCGCGUGAGGGAUGACGGCCUUCGGGUUGUAAACCUCUUUCAGCAGGGAAGAAGCGAAAGUGACGGUACCUGCAGAAGAAGCACCGGCUAACUACGUG